GGGAAAAUACUUUCACUAGGGGACAUAGAACAAUUCUCAAUAACUACACCUACCACCUACUCACUUCAAUAUCCUUGUGCUAAGAGAUGAUUGGACAAAUAAGACAACAUAUCGCAAUGCUACUUGAUCUUGAUAAUUAGAAGGGGGAAGGGUCUGUUGUUAUGCAAUGAACAGGGAAGAAUAUUUUGUACGUUGGUGAUAUAAUUUAAUAUUUCUUUGUAAUAUCUCAUUUGCUUUAUUUUAAAUGGACAGGACCACUAGCUCCAGCUUGAUAAGGGCAUGGUGACUUGACUGGUGUAUCAGAUGCCUUAAAGAUGAGGGUCUAAGUUUAAGUAAACUUUAUUCCCAGGAACACUAGUCAAGGAUUCACCAGGAAAAAUGCUUACCAGAAUCACAGAGGAGCCUGUUCCUGAAUUGAGAAGAAUAGUUUAGACUAUGGUGAAUGCUAUGUUGUGCCAGUCAGAACCUUUUCCACCUUCAGGACUGACACAUUCAUUCCUCUAUUUUCUGUUAAUGUUGUUGGCUGAGAGCUUUUGGCUAAAUUUCUCUUUAAGAAUUUGUUCCUCUGAAAAGUGCUGUCAUUCUGAAUAUCACACCUCUUUCCUUAUACAACCCACAGCCAAUGACCGGUGAUGCAGAGUAAUGCUGGCCCAGUUCCUUUGCUUUGAUUUAUGACAAUGUGAAGAAUUAUUUCAAUUCCAGAGCUCUUCACAAUGUUUGCUGAGGUCCUUUGGCAAUUUCUCUUUUUACGCAAUGCUGCUUCCUUUAGUGCCAGAGCCGCUGGGUUACGGUCUCCCCAACCGAGCUGGUCUCGGCAACCAACCCCAACCAGAAAAGAGUUGGCUUUGCCUCUUGGAAAGGACAGAGGAGAGAUUCCCAGCAACGGAAUGAACUGCAAACCACCCAGUAACAUGCCCCAAAGAGAAAGCUUCCACUUUAAAUAUUCACUAAGUUAA
rnacentral:lncRNA from 1 species